CGCCGAUAAAAAGGCACUUUGGUCAACUUGAAACGAUACUGAGAAGAUUAGCAUGGCCCCUGCACUAAGGAUGACACGUUUAAUCUAAGAGAAGCUACUCGUUUUU
rnacentral:snRNA from 1 species